rnacentral:rRNA from 1 species
AUGCUUCUCUUGUCGGUCUGGAGUUGGGAACGCUUGCCAGUUGGGCGGCCAACGCCUGCGGGUCUUGGUUAUGAGCCAUGGGAUGAUCAUGAUGACCCGGACAGUAUGCCUGCAUGGGCGUAUAAGUGGGACAAGGUUGAAGGUUUUGUUGGCAAUUCAAAGACCAUGUAUUUGCACUAUUGCAACGAGCUCGACAUCAUGACCCCGGAGUAG